rnacentral:ncRNA from 1 species
UUUGCGGUAUCCCCGCCGGAAAGCGUAAAACGGGAAGUCGGUUAAAGUCCGACGCUGCCCCCGCAACGGUAAGUGAGCUAAAGGCAAUCGAAAAAGCCACUGUGCGUCAUGCAUGGGAAGGUGAUUGCCCCGGACCGGCCCAUCGGCUGAUCCACUCGCAAGCCCGGAGACCGGCCUGAAU